AGCAAACAGGUAAAACAGCGUUCAUUGCACGACAGAGGGUGUAAUUCAGAGGUAAGCUUUACCAUUAGAGAAUGUUAUUACAUAAAAAUAUCUAUUUGUAAUUUCUUAGAUGUGCCGGUCUGUUAAAUUUGCCUUCCUUACAGAUUUAUUAAGUUUUGCACAUUUACAUUUUAGGGGGAGUAUUUCUUGUUAUUUUUGCAGUGAUCUUUAUCAUUUUUAUUUUGAAAAUGUUUACACUUGAGGUUUAAAAAAGUUUUGAAAAGUAAAUAGUAGUAUAUGAAUUCUGAAACUGCAUUUAAAUAAUUUCUUUUCUCUCUUUCUUUGUUUUUUUUCUGUUUCUCUCUUCCGUUUUCUACCAGGUUUGUACUUAAGUACUUCAAUUUAACCUUUAACCACACUAAGCUAUUUGUGUAGCAGAUCUCUUAAAUAAUAUUCAAAUCUUUGAUACAAGGCUCUUGCCCUGAGACAAAGUCGCAUUGUUUUAACAAAGGGUAAAUGUGUGCCCGGUGGCAACCCCACACUGGUAAUGUCUUCUGUUCAUCAAAGAACGGGAUUCUCUGUCUAUUUUACAUACACAAUUUCGUUUCUGACUGACUGUCUUUACAAAAAUCAUUAUGAGCCUCUCUCUCUCUCUCUCUCUCUCUCUCUCUCUCUCUCUCUCUCUCUCUCUCUCUCUCUCUCUCGUGGAAUACAAACCUGACUGAUUUGUCAAACAUGCACAUGUAUGCCAUGCAAUCCUUUGCAAUCUGUUUGAUCCGUCUUAAAAACUGAGAUAAAUGUUUGAAAGUCUUAAUGCAUGAGUUAUUAAAUGAUUAUUUCAAAAGAAGGUGAAAAGAAAAAACAGGGAUUUUGU
rnacentral:sRNA from 1 species